AACGAACGCUGGCGGCAUGCCUAACACAUGCAAGUCGAACGAGACCUUCGGGUCUAGUGGCGCAAGGGUGCGUAACGCGUGGGAACCUGCCCUUAGGUUCGGAAUAACUCCCCGAAAGGGGUGCUAAUACCGGAUAAUGUCUUCGGACCAAAGAUUUAUCGCCUUUGGAUGGGCCCGCGUUGGAUUAGCUAGUUGGUAGGGUAAAAGCCUACCAAGGCGACGAUCCAUAGCUGGUCUGAGAGGAUGAUCAGCCACACUGGGACUGGGACACGGCCCAGACUCCUACGGGAGGCAGCAGUGGGGAAUAUUGGACGAUGGGCGAAAGCCUGAUCCAGCAAUGCCGCGUGAGUGAUGAAGGCCUUAGGGUUGUAAAGCUCUUUUACCCGGGAUGAUAAUGACAGUACCGGGAGAAUAAGCCCCGGCUAACUCCGUG
rnacentral:rRNA from 1 species